rnacentral:rRNA from 1 species
AUUGAACGCUGGCGGCAGGCCUAACACAUGCAAGUCGAACGAGUGGCGGACGGGUGAGUAAUGUCUGGGAAACUGCCUGAUGGAGGGGGAUAACUACUGGAAACGGUAGCUAAUACCGCAUACCAUCAGAUGUGCCCAGAUGGGAUUAGCUAGUGGGUGGGGUAAGGGCUCACCAAGGCGACGAUCCCUAGAUGGUCUGAGAGGAUGACCAGCCACAUGGGACCUGAGACACGCUCCAGCCUCCUACGGGAGGCAGCAGUGGGUAAUAGUGCACAAUGGGCGCAAGCCUGAGGCAGCCAGGCCGCGUGUAUGAAGAAGGCCUUCGGGUUGUAAAGUACUUUCAGCGGGGAGGCGUUACCCGCAGAAGAAGCACCGGCUAACUCCGUGCCAGCAGCCGCGGUAAUUC